UACGGGAGGCAGCAGUGAGGAAUAUUGGUCAAUGGACGAGAGUCUGAACCAGCCAAGUAGCGUGAAGGAUGAAGGUCCUACGGAUUGUAAACUUCUUUUAUAAGGGAAUAAAACCUCCCACGUGUGGGAGCUUGUAUGUACCUUAUGAAUAAGCAUCGGCUAACUCCGUGCCAGCAGCCGCGGUAAUACGGAGGAUGCGAGCGUUAUCCGGAUUUAUUGGGUUUAAAGGGAGCGCAGACGGGUCGUUAAGUCAGCUGUGAAAGUUUGGGGCUCAACCUUAAAAUUGCAGUUGAUACUGGCGUCCUUGAGUGCGGUUGAGGUGUGCGGAAUUCGUGGUGUAGCGGUGAAAUGCUUAGAUAUCACGAAGAACUCCGAUUGCGAAGGCAGCACACUAAGCCGUAACUGACGUUCAUGCUCGAAAGUGUGGGUAUCAAACAGGAUUAGAUACCCUGGUAGUCCACACGGUAAACGAUGGAUACUCGCUGUUGGCGAUAUACAGUCAGCGGCUUAGCGAAAGCGUUAAGUAUCCCACCUGGGGAGUACGCCGGCAACGGUGAAACUCAAAGGAAUUGACGGGGGCCCGCACAAGCGGAG
rnacentral:rRNA from 1 species